rnacentral:rRNA from 1 species
UGGAUGGUGUCAAGCUUCCAAGAAAAGCCCUAUACCCGUUAAGGCAUGAUGGCCUGUACCCGAAACCGACACAGGUGGGGUGGUAGAGAAUACCGAGGGGCGCGAGGUAACUCUCUCUAAGGAACUCGGCAAAAUGGCCCCGUAACUUCGGGAGAAGGGGUGCCACCGCGAGGUGGUCGCAGUGAAGAGGCCCAGGCGACUGUUUACCAAAAACACAGGUCUCCGCUAAGUCGCAAGACGAUGUAUGGGGGCUGACGCCUGCCCAGUGCCGGAAGGUUAAGGAAGCUGGUCAGCGCAAGCGAAGCUGGCGACUGAAGCCCCGGUGAACGGCGGCCGUAACAAUAACGGUCCUAAGGUAGCGAAAUUCCUUGUCGGGUAAGUUCCGACCCGCACGAAAGGCGUAACGAUCUGGGCGCUGUCUCGGAGAGAGGCUCGGCGAAAUAGAAUUGUCUGUGAAGAUGCGGACUACGUGCACCCGGACAGAAAGACCCUAUGAAGCUUUACUGUAGCUUGGUAUUGUGCUCGGGCUCGGAAUGCGCAGGAUAGGUGGGAGGCUUUGAUCCAUUGCUUGCGGGUGAUGGUGAGCCACUGGUGAGAUACCACUCUUUCCGAGCUAGAGUUCUAACAGCAACCCGUUAUCCGGGUGCUGGACAGUAUCAGGUGGGCAGUUUGACUGGGGCGGUCGCCUCCUAAAAGGUAGCGGAGGCGCGCAAAGGUCUGCUCAGGCUGGUUGGAAAUCAGCCGACGAGUGUAAAAGCAGAAGCAGGCUUGACUGUGAGACCUACAAGUCGAACAGGGGAAAACUCGGCUUUAGUGAUCCGACGGUUCUGCGUGGAAGGGCCGUCGCUCAACGGAUAAAAGUUACUCUAAGGAUAACAGGCUGAUCUCCCCCAAGAGUUCACACCGACGGGGAGGUUUGGCGCCUCGAUGUCGGCUCAUCGCAACCUGGGGCUGAAGUCGGUCCCAAGGGUUGGGCUGUUCGCCCAUUAAAGCGGUACGCGAGCUGGGUUCAGAACGUCGUGAGACAGUUCGGUCCAUAUCCGGUGCACGCGCAGGAAUAUUGAGAGGAUUUCUCCCUAGUACGAGAGGACCGGGAGGAGCGCACCUCUGGUGUGCCAGUUAUCGUGCCAACGGUAAACGCUGGGUAGCCAUGUGCGGAGUGGAUAACCGCUGAAAGCAUCUAAGUGGGAAGCCCACCUCAAGAUGAGUAUUCCCAUGGCAUAAGCCAGUAAGGUCACGGGAAGAAUACCCGUUGAUAGGCUCUACGUGGAAGCGCAGUAAUGUGUGAAGCGGAGGAGUACUAAUAGACCGAGGGCUUGAC